UAAUUGAAGAGUUUGAUCAUGGCUCAGAUUGAACGCUGGCGGCAGGCCUAACACAUGCAAGUCGAGCGGUAGCACAGGAGAGCUUGCUCUCUGGGUGACGAGCGGCGGACGGGUGAGUAAUGUCUGGGAAACUGCCUGAUGGAGGGGGAUAACUACUGGAAACGGUAGCUAAUACCGCAUGA
rnacentral:rRNA from 1 species